ACCCAUAUUUUCAUUAAAGAAGGGCUAAAGGGCCAGCAACCCAAGCAAAGAAGCCAUUUCAUUCCCUCUUCUCAGAACGAACAACAGGGACAAAGGUCUGACACAUUUUUCCACAAUGCACCAUAAAUGCUGACUCCAAUUUGACAACAUCUGGCUCAUAAACAGAAUGGAAUAACUGAGGAAAUCUACAGCAUCCCUGUGACAGAGGUUUCCAAGCAGAAGCUGGGUGACUGUUUGUGAAGGCCAGUCCACACUCUUCUGAGGCAGUCUAUUCUGUGACUGAAUGGCUACCAUCAUCUGGAAGUUCUUCUAGAUGGCUACUCUAAAUCUUUGCUCUACUAAAUUGAAUUCAAUGGCUUGGAUCCUGUCCACUGGAGAAACAGAAAAAAUUGCUCCAUCAUGUUUAUGAGAUUUGUGGCAAUUGGUGAUGGCAGCGCAGAUCUUGUGCGAGAACAAGACAUGCCAUAAAAUGCAGGCUGUGCCAUGUUACUAGAAAUUGUGUGUGUGCAUCCAAAAGAAUAAAUAAUAUGGCUGAUGCAGGAUAGACUAAAAAAAACUAAGCUAUAAAUCAGAAAGUGACCAUAUGCAAGCCGCUCUCUCUCAGCCUCACUCUUGCCCAGCUACACCAGGGGAAAUUAAAAUGAAUUUGCCUAAUAAAGUUGUAAUAAAGACUACAACUAAAGAAGGCUCUAAAUUGAAGUGCUUUGAGCACUGGAAAGUGAAAUACAAGCAUUGUUUAUUUGUUUAUUCAUUUUCAAAUGGCUUCAGUCUCCAUCAAAAGCAAAGCAGUAAGUCAAGUUCAGGAUCAAAUACAAAAUAUUUGUUGUUGCUUGUUCCAAGCUUUCUGUACAGAGCUCGCAGACCACCACUGAUCCAUGGGGCCACCGUUUGGGAAAAUCAGCAUUAAAAGGUUGUAUUUAUAUAAAAUAAACCCAUAAGCAAUCCUUCCCUCCUCAGUCUUGGCAAAGAUAUGAAUUCUUCUUCUCCCCGCCUAGGUUUUUUUUAAAACUCACAUUAGAUUCUCUCUGGUACGUACAUCAUUUUUAGUAAUAAAAAAUUAUGCAAGUGUAUCUUAGUUAAAAGCAUAUAUAUAAUAACAAACGAGCCAAAAAAAUAAUCCAGUAAUCCUGGAGGCAAAUAGGAGUAAAGCUGUAAAACCUGCCCUUAUCAGGAAAUAAUCAGAUUUUAGUGUACCACAACUUUUUUUGCUUCUGAUUCACAUUUCUAAGAGGAGUGGAUUACUGUUUCACUUUCAAGUAAAUCAACAGUGAUGAACUAGUAAUUUGUCAUUAUGAAUUCAUUACUGUGGUGAAACUAUUUAAUUGUUAGUAGAGAGGAGACAAGGGAGGGAAUCCUGAAACAACCAGUUAAGCAAUGAAAACUCGCUGAGCAAAGAAGUCCUUAUAUCACAUUAGGUAAGUGUGCAUGAAUUUGUAAUAUAAUUUGCACAUUGCGAUAUUUUCCAAUGACCAUAUUCCAAUCCAGGGCCAUUUAUCAUAGUGGUGAGCAAAAGGCUAAACCCUCAAGACUACUUACACUUUCUGACAUUUGAAAGUGGCACAAAGACACAGAACUUUGACAAGAAAAUUUGCUAGACUUUACAGAUGUCCACUCAAGACAUGAAUUUUGCCUUGCAAUAAAUUUCAAUUUAAAAUAAACCCUUC